ACACAUGUUUGUCAUGGUUUACAAACUGAAAAUAGAAUGAUUUGUGAAGUUGAACAUUUUCUCACAAAGAAUCCGUUUGUAGACAUGCACACUCAUUUAAUCUGGAGCUACGAAGAUUCAAGUACUUUGUCACUUCUCUGGAACAUUAUUCUAAGCAGAAUUAUCCCGAUUCAUAUAUUCUAAGAAUCUUGUGUGAAUUGUUUACGAGGAAAUUCUGACUGUCACAUUAACAAGGAUGAACACUCUUGACUCUGCUUCGGAUUCCCCAGUGAUAAUUGUAUCGAGUGAUGAAAGAGCUGACGGCGACAUUUUAAUGUAUGAUUGGCUUGGACCAUUGGAAUGAAGUCAUUUCAUGGUGCCACCACUUGAGAUGGUAUUAGCUGCAAAUAUAGACUUGUACUCAGCACUUAUUGCCUUUAAGAAGUAUGAGAUCCAUUUUGUGCUAACACCUACCGUGACACAGAAUCUUGGUUUAUGCAGUCUCAUAGAAGUAACCUGUCUAAAGCAUUUAGCAAUGGGAUUGGAACCUGCGACGUGUGACUCAUCUGAAGACUGAAUUUUGAUACCAAGCAUGACCAUGAUUUGCCAGAAGAUCAUCUGUUUGGAUGUGACAUGGAAUAAACAGCAUUGUGAAAAUAAGUCAAGUUUUGGUUUGUGAAGACAAUUUUUAAACACACUGUGUAUCAUUUUUAAAUUUUGAUUUGACAACAUAAAUCCCCAAAUAUGAACAUAUCA